CUUCAGAUCUGGCAAAUCUGUUAUAAAGGAUUAUGGAAUACAAGCUACUAUGCAUAAAACAAGAUACAAAAAGACCUAAUGGAUAGCACAAGGAAAAUAGUCACUAUUUUAUAAUAGCUUUGUAUGCAGUAUAAUCUAUAAAAAUAUAGAAUUUCCAUGCUGUACACCUGAACUAA